CUAUGCUUAUCCUACAGCAGCAACAUCUGCUGUCGGGUUUGACAGCCUGAAAA
rnacentral:ncRNA from 1 species